GUGCUUGUUUCAGUAGCACACAUACUGAAAUUGGAAUGAUACAGAGAUUAGGAUAGCCCCUAAACAAAGAUGGCAGGUACUUUCAUGAAGCACCCCAUCAAAUA